AAAAAGGGAAUUCUACAUAGCAUAACUAACUCUAUUACAUAUUUAUAUAUAGUAGCUAUAGUUUAAAAUAAUUACAUUCCAUAGCUAAAAGUUGUAUGUUAAUGACACUUAUUAGCUAUUAAGGUAAAAAUACAGAACUCUCUCCUCUUCCUCCUCUCUCUAACGUCUACAACUCUCUCUCUCUCUCUCUAACGUCCCUUCUGCUCUCUCUUCCAUUUUCUCUCUCCUUACCUCCACCACCAUGGCCGACGUCACCACCAUCCUCAGCUCCUUCCCCUUCUUAUCGAUCUCAAGAAAUAAGGAUGGAGGAAAAAGAAACAGAAUUGGGGAAGCUUACCGAGAACAUGGAGAAGAGCAAAAUGAGCCAUUAUGUAUCAAUUAAAAAGGGUCGAAUUAAGACACACACCUCAUUUUUCCUCCAGAUCUGUCACCACCAUCGGUACUGCUCCUUCCCCUUCUUUCUUCCGUCAUCAUCUUCUCCAGAUCUGUUGAAUUUUAUUUUUUGUAUUCAGUUUUUGAGUGUAUUCAUUAGUUGUUGUUGAGUGUAUUCGUUAGUUGUUGUUGAAUACAGUGAAUUUUGAAGUGUAUACAAAUGAAUAUAGUGAAAUUUAAUUCUUUGUA